GGAGGUGGAGGUGGAGGUGGAGGUGGUGUUACCUCUUCAUCCUUCUUGUUGUGUCCCGGCAGUUUCUCUUUUAUUUUCUCAAGGAAACCCUUUUUUUCCUCUGCUUGGUGUGCUGCUUCUGCUUCCUCGUAUUUCUCAAUAGGGACUGUGGUAUCCUCUUCCUUCUUUUCUUCUUUGUCGCCCGAUAUCUUCUCCUUGAUCUUCUCUUUCAAUCCCUUCUUUUCCUUCUUUUUCUUCUUCUUCUCCUCUCCCUCGCCUUCUUCCUCAUCACUAGAACUAGAACUGCUAUCUGAUCGAUGAAGCUUUUCCAACAGACCAUGCUUCUUCUCCUCCUCUUUGUGCUCAGGUUCAGAUACGUGAACCUUCUCUUCAAACUCUGUGACGAUCACCUCCUCUUGAGGCUUCUUUUCUUCUUUCUUCCCCAAGAAACCAAACAACCCACGAUCCUUGGUCUCCACAGCUGAUCCCUCAUCAACAACAACUGGGGUCUCAGACUCAUGGCUCUUGCUGUGCUCCUCAGCCAUGCUGUUCUAGAUCACCGUAAGCUUACAAACAAAUGAGUAAGAAGCUGGUUUUAACAAAAGUAAGGAAUGAGCUGGAUAUCUACAACCUCGUUAAAAUAAAAUGCGUUUGCGUUUUGUAACUGAUGGUUUGUGCUCUGUGAGAGUGAUGAAUUUAUAGGCUGUCACAGAACGCGGUUCUGACGCGAAAUAAACGAAUAAAAGCUGAUUAGGCUACCCAAUCAAAGUCUCCUCUGGUUCUGUAGCCGACGUUUGCGUAAAAACAAAGGGGAAUUCACAAAUCUAACUGACCAACGCGCAUUAAAUUAGAGUGUGCUCGCUUUUCAAAUUGCCCAUCUGUCACACCGCCCAGCUGUCAUAGCAGAGGAGCGGUUAUUCCCUAGUUUAAUACUCGAGCGCGGGAAAUCAACAGUCAAAAGAAAAAGAGAAAAAGAUCAC
rnacentral:misc_RNA from 1 species